UACGAAGGGGGCUAGCGUUGCUCGGAAUCACUGGGCGUAAAGCGCGCGUAGGCGGAUUGUUAAGUCAGGGGUGAAAUCCUGGAGCUCAACUCCAGAACUGCCUUUGAUACUGGCGAUCUCGAGUCCGGGAGAGGUGAGUGGAACUGCGAGUGUAGAGGUGAAAUUCGUAGAUAUUCGCAAGAACACCAGUGGCGAAGGCGGCUCACUGGUCCGGUACUGACGCUGAGGUGCGAAAGCGUGGGGAGCAAACAGG
rnacentral:rRNA from 1 species